AUUGAACGCUGGCGGCAGGCCUAACACAUGCAAGUCGAACGGUAACAGGAAGCAGCUUGCUGCUUUGCUGACGAGUGGCGGACGGGUGAGUAAUGUCUGGGAAACUGCCUGAUGGAGGGGGAUAACUACUGGAAACGGUAGCUAAUACCGCAUAACGUCGCAAGACCAAAGAGGGGGACCUUCGGGCCUCUUGCCAUCGGAUGUGCCCAGAUGGGAUUAGCUAGUAGGUGGGGUAACGGCUCACCUAGGCGACGAUCCCUAGCUGGUCUGAGAGGAUGACCAGCCACACUGGAACUGAGACACGGUCCAGACUCCUACGGGAGGCAGCAGUGGGGAAUCUUGCACAAUGGGCGAAAGCCUGAUGCAGCCACGCCGCGUGUGUGAAGAAGGCCUUCGGGUUGUAAAGUACUUUCAGUGGGGAGGAAGGGAGUAGAGUUAAUACCUUCACGCAUUGACGGUACCCGCAGAGAAAGCACCGGCUAACUCCGUG
rnacentral:rRNA from 1 species